UUCGGUUUCUUUCCUCGACGCUUCUCGGUUCCUCCAUCCCUUUGCGGCACGCGCCCACCACCAACCCCGCGGGCGAACUGGAGGGCUCUGCGUGCCCCGGGGCCGCCUCCCCUACGGGCCGGGGACCGAGGGGGAGGCCGCCUUGCCGCCGGGAGCAGCGCGGGCGGGAGAUGCGCGGAACGUCCAGGACGGGGAGGGGGCCGCGCCAGCGCCCGGGCCCUGCGUCCCUCCCCAUCUGUCGGACCAAAGCUGCUGAAGCUGCAGAAUUGCGCUGGCGCCCGUCCACCGGCUGCAAACAAAACCAAACAAAACGCGGCGAAAGGAAAAGCGAAAUGGCGCUGCUGAAAAUGGAGCCUCGGCCUCUAGGACGUCUUUCUUUCCUCCUCUGUCUCUUACUUCGUCUACUUUGUGUUUCUAGUCCUUCAACGCCCCCCUCCUCGGCUCUCCUCCCCGUAAUCUCUACCCCAUCGUCCUUUUGCUUUUCUGAUUAACAAUCUCCUUCCCCCGCUUUUCCUUCUUUUCUUUCCCCUCUCGGUUCCUCCUUCUCCAUUUUGUGUCACAGGCGCUUCUCUUCUCAGUUCCCUUUCUGGGCUCGCGCUCCCCCGCCCGUCUCACUUGGGUGUUUUCUGCGUUUCGGGGAGCGGGGGUGGUAGGGACGGUGAGGCUAGGUAGCCAGUGGGUUCGGUAGAGACAGGUUUUAUUUAGAACCCAAACAGCUCCUUUAAUUAGUCGUGCGCUCGCCCUGCGCCCUCGUCCCCCGCGGCUCUGCGCCCGGACUCGCGCGGCGCCGUCCCACCAGCCGGGCGUCACCGCCCAGGAGGAGGCUCAGGGCUUACGCAGAAGUGAAUACCUUUUUAUAUAUUUUAAGCUUAGAUUAUCGUUUUUGCAGUGUUCGUGAGCAUGGCAUACUUUGGAUAGGUGGAUUUCAUUUUCCCAAGGGACUUCCAAAGACCAUUUUAAGAGAAGCGUGCAGAGAAGACAGCAAUAUUAAUCAUUUUUUCUUGCUUUCUUUUGAGCAGAGGGAACCCCAAGCACUAAGAUACUUAUGUUUUUAAGGCCAAACUUUUUUGAAAAUGACUUUUUCUUUUACACUCACAGUUGACUUUGAUCCUUUAAAAAAAGAGGGUGAACUCUUUAAAAAGAGACGGAUGCUUUUGAAUACAUAACACCCCCCAAUUGUGGUUCUCGGAUAGUUUCUCUAGACGCAUUAUGAUUUUGAGGUUCAAGGUCUCUAAGCGCUCUUCAGUGAAACAGUGGGAAAUAUGUUGCUACGUUAAAGAUAAAGCAGAAGGUGAUAUUUCCUGGUUGUGCUCAAUCUUAGUAGUAGAGAGUGUCGGGUUUGUUUUUGCUUUUUUGGGGGGGGGGUAAGGGGGGGGUUGGGCAGAAUUUGCCUUGGUUCUGUUAAAGAACCAACUGAUAGAAGCUAUUUCAAGUGAAGAGCUUCAGUCAAUACAAAUCUGAAAGCAGUGACAUCAUUUUCUGACCUGAGUGCGUCUUUUAGUCAUGGUAGAAAGGUUUUAAUCCAGGCUCCUGCUUCUUUGUUACGCUUUUCUCCUGGUAGAUGAACAAAUAAAAUGAGUCUCACUGGAAGGAUUAUUAUAAUUGGACUUCCCUGGUGGCGCAGUGGUUAAGAAUCUGCCGGCCAACGCAGGGGACACGGGUUCGAGCCCUGGUCCGGGAAGGUCCCACAUGCUGCAGAGCAACUAAGCCCGUGUGCCACAACUACUGAGCCUGCGCUCUAGAACCCGCGAGUCACAACUACUGAAGCCCGUGCACCUAGAGCCCGUGCUCUGCAACAAGAGAAGCCACUGCAAUGAGAGGCCUGCGCACAGCAAUGAAGAGUAGCCCCUGCUCGCUGCAACUAAAACAAAAAAGAAAGCCCGCGAGGAGCAACAAAGACCCAACGCGGCCAAUAAUAAGAAGUAGCUGCAAGGAGGAGGCUAUUCCCAGGGCUUUGGCCUGUACGCACCCCCCAUACCUGAAAUUUUAUUGGAACUGUGGAAAUGGAGCAGUGGUUUCACUUUUCACUCUGCCUUCACUGGGACUCCCUGGAAGAAGUGCUGUGCCAGUGACCGGUGUUUCUCCUGAAUAAAGCAUCUUGGCCUUAAUGACCGGAGGUUUGGAUCCUCUGGUUUCAUCUAAAUUAUACCCUCUGAUUGAUUUAAGAUGUUAUUUUUUUCUUUCGUUUCUUUUAAACAGAACUACUGAUCUUUGAAAAAUUUUAAAUAGCAUCUGUACGACAAUUUGGAAGCGAAAGAAAUAUAAUGUGUUAUUUUCCAAUAGGGUCUAUGACUAAGGCAGGGCACAUAUCAUUAAUUCUAUGGAGGAGGAAACAGAGGAACACGUCCUCCACACCUGGUAAUAUUUAGUGCCCUUCCCGCUCUAUCUGCCGACUUUGCUGGACUCAUUCCACACCGGUUUUCUCCUGGUCUCUCUCUGAGUUCCUCCACUGACUGACUCUUCCCUCCCACCCCAGGCAAUCCACAGCCGAGGAAUGGAAUCUCCCUUUGCUGUCUGCUCAUCUCUUUAUUCUUUCGAAGUAAAUGAAAAGAGGAUAUCUGUUCUGAAUUUUUUAAUGUUAAUUUCUAAUGGGUGAGUUCAGAAAGAUAGGCAGGACUGAGAAUUUGUCAGUGCAUUCACUGUAUAGACAGGGUAGCAAAAAACUUGCCUCCAACUGCUCCUGUGAACACGAACACAUCAUGGAAAAUAAAAGGCUGUGGCUACCGCAUGGAUGGUGGUGUGGUCAAGAGGCGGACUGAGAGGUAGAACCCGUCAAAGUUUCUGAGAUACCCAUAGGGUCCUCCUGGAGCGGUUUUCCCACGCUACUGAAGAAAGUGGAAACCUGUGCUGCUCCCCGACCCUCCUCUCCCCACCAUUUCUAGCUGGAUCAAGGAUUCUAUUCGUCUGGACACAGUUGAAAUCAUCGAUAUUGUUAGCGAAUCAUACUUUUUCACUACUGAGAUAAGCAAUGAUUAAUAUUUUCAUUCUGGAUUAUUUGGUAAAACCAUCGAAAAUGAUUUCUACCUCCAAAAGAGAGGUUCAUGAAGAAAAAACUACAUUUUUAAAUAAUUUUGAUUGAACCAUUAGAGUAGAAUAUCAGUAUAUUAUUUCUGCCUCAUU